GACGAACGCUGGCGGCGUGCCUAAUACAUGCAAGUCGAACGCAGUGGGGACGGGUGAGUAACACGUGGGUAACCUCCCAUCAGAGGGGAUAACACUUGGAAACAGGUGCUAAACCGAUACUGAUGGAUGGACCCGCGGUGCAUUAGCUAGUUGGUGAGGUAACGGCUCACCAAGGCCACGAUGCAUGGCCGACCGGUGAGGGGGAUAGGCCACACUGGAAUGGAGCCACGGCCCAGACCCCUACGGGAGGCAGCAGGAGGGAAGCUGAGGCAAUGGACGAAAGUCUGACCGAGAAACGCCGCGUGAGGGAAGAAGGUUUUCGGAUCGUAAAACUCUGUUGUUAGAGAAGCGGUAUCUAACCAGAAAGCAACGGCUAACUACGUGCCAGCAGCCGCGGUAAUAC
rnacentral:rRNA from 1 species